AUGAACUUCUGGAGUCUGUAUUUAUUUGUGGCAUUAUGCUCCAAUUUAAGCCUCUCUAAAACCUUGCUAUUGCACUUCCUGUUUAUCUCACAGAGUUAUUGGAGGAUUAAAGAAAAUGGUAUCAUGUGCUUUGUAACUAGAGUACCAGUUGGAAGAAAAGAAAAGAGAAGCUCUUGGAUCAAAUAUAUACAUGGAGAAGACAAAGAAAUGCUCUUGAGUCUGUUGCCUCUGUCAAGAAGUAACAUGCUUUGCUCAUCAUCAUUCUUCAGGAAUCAUGUUGCAUAGGAUGUCAGGAAGAAGAUCCGUUUUCUUCGGGAGCACUAAGUGGGAAUCCCUUCUUUUGAGACUCAGCCUGGAGAUCGGGUCAGUAACUGGACAGAAGACUAGUUACAGCUGCCUCUUGUGGUGCUCCCUUUGGGCAGUUCUUAUGGAAACUCAGGUUUGAAGCUAUUAACACUCCCUCUGCUUUCGCAGUGACCAGCAGUGCUUCUGAGGUCCUAGAAAAGGGUUCAUUUUUCGGAGGUCAGUAGGAAAACCGGCAUUUAGAGAAAAGCCUCAGAGGAUAGCAUCUCUUUGAGAGUGCUCUGACUGGAUGAUAAAAGCAAUUUCAAUGAAGUGAAACCUGCUAAUUUUGACUCCACUGAUCAGGAGUUUGUGGAUUGAAGUUCAUUCUCCACUUGAAGAAAGUUCUCGCUCUGCUCUUAACAAAGAUUUCAAAGGGAAUAAUUUAAAUGCUUAGGAGGAGACUUUUCAAGCACUUCAGAAGCACUGAUUCAAUUUCACACGAUCAACUCACUUACACAUUGUUCUUAACUACUCAUUAAAAAGCGUGGCUAAGUAACACUUUGUUUUAGUCUCUUUCUAGUUAAUCUACAUUAAAGAUACUCUACAAUUCUGGCAUUUGAGGAAUUCUGAUGUAUUUUCUCCUGAAUUAGUAUGGAAGGCUUUCUAUAUAUGACAUAUCAGUAAAGAUCUGUCUGUGGGAUCAUUUAGCUUGGGUCUCCGAUAUGUGUGCAUGAAGUGCAGUCUUUUUGGUAUCACGAGGCUGUUGUCAACCUGCAUGUAAAGCACACGUUAUGAUGAAAUAAAGGUUCUCCCGAAUUUUGUGGUACA
rnacentral:lncRNA from 1 species